rnacentral:rRNA from 1 species
GACGAACGCUGGCGGCGUGCCUAAUACAUGCAAGUCGAACGCAGUGGGGACGGGUGAGUAACACGUGGGUAACCUCCCCUCAGCGGGGAUAACCCUUGGAAACAGGUGCUAAACCGAUACUGAUGGAUGGACCCGCGGUGCAUUAGCUAGUUGGUGAGGUAUCGGCUUACCAAGGCCACGAUGCAUAGCCGACCUGAGAGGGGGAUCGGCCACACUGGGACGGAGACACGGCCCAGACUCCUACGGGAGGCAGCAGUAGGGAAUCGUCGGCAAUGGACGAAAGCCUGAUGCAGCCAUGCCGCGUGUAUGAAGAAGGCCUUCGGGUUGUAAAGUACUUUCAGCGGGGAGGCGUUACCCGCAGAAGAAGCACCGGCUAACUCCGUGCCAGCAGCCGCGGUAAUAC